ensembl:lncRNA
AAGACCAGCAGUAGUAUUGUAUGAAGAAGAAGAAGAAGAAGACCAGUAGUAUAGUUUGAAGGAACAGAGAAGAAGAAUACCAGUAGUAUAGAAUGAAGGAACAGAGGAGAAGAAGGUUUGCAUCUUUGCACACUGACUUGUGUUUGGCGAACUCGUCCUGCAGCAGAGCCACGUAGUUCGCCGGGAUGAGUCCGGACUGCAGGGACCCGGUCAGCUUCUUGGCCAGCACAUACUCCCCCCCGCUUCUCGAUCACCGACAGUUUGGUCCCCCUCCCUCACCGUCAGCUCGUCGUCGCUGCGGGGCCUCGAAGUCGAAGAGCGCGGCGUAGAGCUGCACCGGCCGCUUCUUGGGCGAAGGGACGCGGAUGUCGCGGGACACGGUGCGGAUCUCCGACGCCUGGCGCGGCCCGGGUUGGCUAUGACAUGGUGGUGGUGGUGGUUGUUGUUGUUGACGACGUUCGGGUAGCUGAGGUCCGGCCAUAUGCAGUCCCAGAGCCGGCUCAGACACGGCAUACAGGAGCGACAGCAACUCUCCAUCGUGGGACACGAAGGAGCGCGGCCGCGCGGUUGUUCCAGGUUCGAUCCGAUCGAUGCGACGCGGGUUCCCGGACUUGACUCAGUCCGCUGAAAACGGCCUGUUACAGCCCGCAGCCACCAGCCGUUCAGUUCUCCGGUUCCCCUCUAUUCCCCUGGCUGGAAACAUACUGCAACGACAGCAACUGCUGGGGUAGAUUAGCCGGAGGAACCGGUUUCUUUUUGUUCCCUUCUGUUGAGAUCAUCUAAGCCGCGCGUCUGCAGCGUCCACCGCGGCGGCGGGAAUGCGGAAACGGCAGCGGAGGGCGUCCGAGACGUAUCGGUUCCCCGCGAGGACUCGGCGGUGCAACGCAAGACUAAUCGGGAAUGAGAGCGUGGGACCCGGGGACGUUUAGAUCCAUAGUGGUGCAAACGGGAAUCCGCAGCAGGGGGGGAGGGGGGGGGGAGGAGGCUGAAGGUGAAGCGGCCGCACGGUGCGUAAAAAGUUUGGGUUUGGCGCUUUGCGCCGCUCCUGCUGACACACCUGCCUAUUGACAAGAAG